CAUGUUUACAAUUAAAAUUAAGAUAAUGAUUACAUAUAAAUCGAAUAUGGUUUUAAUUGACUUAAUAAAAUCAAAGCAUUGAUUUGAAGCAAGCUAAACAAAAUAUAUUCAAAUACAUAGGUAAUUAAAAAAAAAAUUAAAAUAGAUAAAAACUUAUUUCUGUACACGCAGCACAGAUAAGAAAAUAAGUACAAACAAAUUCCUUUUUGGGUGUCAAAUGUUUACUUUAACACACGGUAAAAUAAAAUUGUUUGUUUGUUAACAAACUUGGUCAAAUAUCUUUUAGAUUACGAAUGUAGUUUAAUUUCGAAUUUAAACUGGUGGAACUUGUUUUAAAAUCAGUAAAUUCUUCAUAAUUACCUGAGAAAAUGCAAUGCCAAUGCCGACACCGCCAAUGAACCGUCAUCGGGGGUGUCCGGGCAGCAGGUGUGCGGGAGGGUUGUAUUACCUCUAUUUACCUUCACCCAAUCCUCCGGACCAGUCAUGCCGCAACAAGACAUCUGUUAAAAUAAAUAACGAUUGUUAAAUGGAUAAUUUUCUUCUCAAUUUGAAAUAUAAGCGUUUUUGUCCGUUGAUUUAGAUGUACCAUCCAAUCACAUUAAGUUUGUUACUUUACUGUAAUUAAAUUAAUUUAUUCAUUACAUAGACAAAACAAUACUUUCUCGUUACAUAUGUAUGUGACAAUUUUAUUACAUAGUUAUUUAAUAUGUGCACAAAAAUAUCCAUAUA